UACAGAGGUCCCAAGCGUUGUUCGGAUUCAUUGGGCGUAAAGGGUGCGUAGGUGGCGCCGUAAGUCGGGUGUGAAAUUUCGGAGCUUAACUCCGAAACUGCAUUCGAUACUGCGGUGCUUGAGGACUGGAGAGGAGACUGGAAUUCAUGGUGUAGCAGUGAAAUGCGUAGAGAUCAUGAGGAAGACCAGUGGCGAAGGCGGGUCUCUGGGCCGAUACUGACGCUGAGGAGCGAAAGCGUGGGGAGCAAACAGG
rnacentral:rRNA from 1 species